GAUGAACGCUGACAGAAUGCUUAACACAUGCAAGUCGAUUCGAUUUACCUUCGGGUAUUGAGGAUGGCGGACGGGUGAGUAACGCGUAAGGAACUUGCCUCUUGGUCUGGGACAACUGUUGGAAACGACAGCUAAUACCGGAUAUUAUGAGAUUCUCGCAUGGGAAACUUAUGAAAGCUAUAUGCGCCAAGAGAGAGCCUUGCGUUCCAUUAGCUAGUUGGUGGGGUAACGGCCCACCAAGGCGACGAUGGAUAGCCGGCCUGAGAGGGUGAACGGCCACAAGGGGACUGAGACACGGCCCUUACUCCUACGGGAGGCAGCAGUGGGGAAUAUUGGACAAUGGGCCACAAGCCUGAUCCAGCAAUUCUGUGUGCACGAUGAAGGUCUUCGGAUUGUAAAGUGCUUUCAGUUGGGAAGAAGAAAGUGACGGUACCAACAGAAGAAGCGACGGCUAAAUACGUGCCAGCAGCCGCGGUAAUACGUAUGUCGCAAGCGUUAUCCGGAUUUAUUGGGCGUAAAGCGCGUCUAGGCGGAAAAAUAAGUCUGAUGUUAAAAUGCGGGGCUCAACUCCGUAUUGCGUUGGAAACUGUUUUUCUAGAGUACUGGAGAGGUGGGCGGAACUACAAGUGUAGAGGUGAAAUUCGUAGAUAUUUGUAGGAAUGCCGAUGGAGAAGUCAGCUCACUGGACAGAUACUGACGCUNAAGCNCGAAAGCGUGGGGAGCAAACAGGAUUAGAUACCCUGGUAGUCCACGCCGUANCGAUGAUCACUAGGU
rnacentral:rRNA from 1 species